UACGUAGGUGGCAAGCGUUAUCCGGAUUUAUUGGGUUUAAAGGGUGCGCAGGCGGCGUGUCAAGCAAGCGGUAAAAUAGCGGGGCUCAACCCCGUCGAGCCGUUUGAACUGGCGCGCUUGAGUUCAGGCGAGGUAGGCGGAAUUCGUGGUGUAGCGGUGAAAUGCUUAGAUAUCACGAAGAACUCCGAUUGCGAAGGCAGCCUGCUGGACUGUAACUGACGCUGAUGCUCGAAAGUGUGGGUAUCAAACAGG
rnacentral:rRNA from 1 species